rnacentral:rRNA from 1 species
GUGGGGAAUAUUGCGCAAUGGGGGAAACCCUGACGCAGCGACGCCGUGUGAGGGAAGAAGGCUUUCGGGUCGUAAACCUCUGUCAGAAAGGAAGAACCUCCCAAGUCCGAAUAGGGCUUGGGACUGACGGUACUUUCAAAGGAAGCACCGGCUAACUCCGUGCCAGCAGCCGCGGUAAUACGGAGGGUGCAAGCGUUAAUCGGAAUCACUGGGCGUAAAGCGCGCGUAGGCCGCUUUGUAAGUCGGACGUGAAAGCCCUCGGCUCAACCGGGGAACUGCGUUCGAUACUGCGAGGCUUGAGUCCUGGAGAGGGUGGCGGAAUUCCGGGUGUAGGAGUGAAAUCCGUAGAUAUCCGGAGGAACACCGGUGGCGAAGACGGCCACCUGGACAGGUACUGACGCUGAGGCGCGAAAGCGUGGGGAGCAAACAGGAUUAGAAACCCCAGUAGUCC